GAUGAACGCUAGCGGCAGGCCUAACACAUGCAAGUCGAGGGGUAGAACACUUCGGUGUUUGAGACCGGCGCACGGGUGCGUAACGCGUAUGCAAUCUACCUUGUACAGGGGAAUAGCCCAGAGAAAUUUGGAUUAAUGCCCCAUAGUAUAUAACCUUCGCAUGUUGGUUAUAUUAAAGUUCCAACGGUACAAGAUGGGCAUGCGUCCCAUUAGUUAGUUGGUAAGGUAACGGCUUACCAAGACAAUGAGGGGUAGGGGUCCGGAGAGGGGGAUCCCCAACACUGGUACUGAGACACGGACCAGACUCCUCCGGGAGGCAGCAGUGAGGAAGAUUGGUCAAUGGUCGCAAGACUGAACCAUCCAUGCCGCGUGCAGGAAGACGGUCCGAUGGAUUGUAAACUGCUUUUAUACAGGAAGAAACCCUCCCACGUGUGGGAGCUUGACGGUACUGUAGGAAUAAGGAUCGGCUAACUCCGUGCCAGCCGCCGCCGUAAAAC
rnacentral:rRNA from 1 species